rnacentral:rRNA from 1 species
AUGAGUCGAGAUCAAGGGCAGCAAAAAUGGAGAUGUGUGAUUUUUCAUUACCUUUGUUUCUGUCAAGUAUUACAUGUCCGCAGUGCCAGGGGUCAAAUUCACCAUGAAGGUACUAACCUACUCCCUCCGUUCCAUAAUAUAAGACAUUCUUUGACAAAUGUAAGACAUUUUUUGACACUAGUGUAUUGUCAAAAAACGUCUUACAUUAUGGGAUGGAGGGAGUACCUUUUCUCCGAGAUGGAUGAACAACACAUAGAAUCUACAAACGCUGGUGCUGCUUGUGCUUGGUAUGCUCCAUGUAUGUUUUUCUUAUCACAAGGAUGUCAUGCUAUAUUCUAUUCUUUACUAUACCCAUUAUCUAUGUGUCAAUUAUCAUGA